rnacentral:rRNA from 1 species
UGGGGAAUUUUGGACAAUGGGCGAAAGCCUGAUCCAGCAACGAUGCGUGGAGGAUGAAGGUUCUCGGAUUGUAAACUCCUUUUAAGGGGGAAGAAACAAAUGACGGUACCCCUUGAAUAAGCCACGGCUAACUACGUGCCAGCAGCCGCGGUAAGACGUAGGUGGCAAGCGUUACUCGGAAUUACUAGGCGUAAAGCGCGCGUAGGCGGAAUGUUAAGUCUGUUGUGUAAUCUCUGGGCUCAACCCAGAAACUGCAACGGAAACUGGCGUUCUUGAGUGAGGCAGAGGAAAUCGGAAUUCCUAGUGUAGCAGUGAAAUGCGUAGAUAUUAGGAGGAACACCGGUGGCGAAGGCGGAUUUCUGGGCCUUUACUGACGCUAAAGUGCGAAAGCUAGGGGAGCAAACGGG